rnacentral:tRNA from 1 species
GCGUUAAUAGUAUAUAGUUGUAAAGUACAUUGUCUGUCCAAGGCAAGGGUCCUUGUGGGUGAGGUUGGCGUA